rnacentral:rRNA from 1 species
UGGGGAAUAUUGGACAAUGGGCGCAAGCCUGAUCCAGCCAUGCCGCGUGAGUGAAGAAGGCCUUCGGGUUGUAAAGCUCUUUCGGCGGGGACGAAACGGUCCGGGCUAACACCACGGACUAAUGACGGUACUCGCCGAAGAAGCACCGGCUAACUACGUGCCAGCAGCCGCGGUAAUACGUAGGGUGCAGGCGUUAAUCGGAAUUACUGGGCGUAAAGCGUGCGCAGGCGGCUCCUUAAGUCAGAUGUGAAAGCCCCGGGCUUAACCUGGGAACUGCGUUUGAAACUGGGGAGCUAGAGUGUGGAAGAGGGGGGUGGAAUUCCAGGUGUAGCAGUGAAAUGCGUAGAGAUCUGGAGGAACACCGAUGGCGAAGGCAGCCCCCUGGGCUAACACUGACGCUCAUGCACGAAAGCGUGGGGAGCAAACAGGAUUAGAUACCCUGGUAGUCCACGCUGUAAACGAUGGGCACUAGGCGUCGGGGGGAGCGACCCCUUCGGUGCCGCAGCUAACGCAUUAAGUGCCCCGCCUGGGGAGUACGGCCGCAAGGCUG